rnacentral:rRNA from 1 species
UACAGAGGUCUCAAGCGUUGUUCGGAUUCAUUGGGCGUAAAGGGUGCGUAGGCGGCGCGGUAAGUCGGGGUGUGAAAUCUCGGAGCUUAACUCCGAAACUGCAUUCGAUACUGCCGUGCUAGAGGACUGGAGAGGAGACUGGAAUUUACGGUGUAGCGGUGAAAUGCGUAGAUAUCGUAAGGAAGACCAGUGGCGAAGGCGGGUCUCUGGACAGUUCCUGACGCUGAGGCACGAAGGCCAGGGGGAGCAAAACGGGG